rnacentral:rRNA from 1 species
GAUGAACGCUGGCGGCGUGCCUAAUACAUGCAAGUCGAACGCUGGAGAUCUAGCUUGCUAGAUCGAAGGAGUGGCGAACGGGUGAGUAAUACAUAAGCAACCUACCCACGAAGACUGGGAUAAUCUCUGGAAACGGGGACUAAUACCGGAUAGGUAAUCGGAAGGCAUCUUCUGGUUAUUAAAGGUUAAAAACACUGGUGGAUGGGCUUAUGGCGCAUUAGUUAGUUGGUGAGGUAACGGCCCACCAAGACGAUGAUGCGUAGCCGGCCUGAGAGGGUGAACGGCCACAUUGGGACUGAGACACGGCCCAGACUCCUACGGGAGGCAGCAGUAGGGAAUUUUCGGCAAUGGGGGCAACCCUGACCGAGCAGCGCCGCGUGAGUGAAGACGGCCUUCGGGUUGUAAAGCUCUGUUGUAAGGGAAGAACGGUAGAUAGAGAAUAUCUAAGUGACGGUACCUUACCAGAAAGCCACGGCUAACUACGUG